AAUCAACGCUGGCGGCGUGCCUGAGACAUGCAAGUCGAACGAUUAAACUUUCCUUCGGGAAAGAUAUAAAGUGGCGCACGGGUGAGUAACACGUAGGUAAUGUACCUUUGGGUGGGAAGUAACCAUCGGAACGAUGGCUAAUACCGCAUAAUGCAGCGGCAUCGCAAGAUGCAGUUGUUAAAGAUUUAUCGCCUAAAGAGCAGCCUGCGGCAGAUUAGGUAGGGUUAAGGUAAUGGCUUACCAAGCCUGCGAUCU
rnacentral:rRNA from 1 species